rnacentral:rRNA from 1 species
GAUGAACGCUGGCGGCGUGCCUAAUACAUGCAAGUCGAACGAACAGACGAGGCGCUUGCUCGUUUCUCGUUAGCGGAGGGCGUGAGAGUAACACGUGUAUCACCUCCCUAACAUUGUGGUAACACUUCGGAACUGGGGCUAAAACCGGGUAGAAUAUCUUGAUCCAUGGUGUUGAUUGGAAAAUUUCGGCUUUGCUGUAUGUACUCGCGGCGUAUCCGCUUGUUGGUGAGGUAGUGACUUACCAAGGUUACGACGGGUAGCCGGCCUGAGAGACUGGUAGGCCACCUUGGAGGGUAGACACGGACCAGACGCCUACGGGAGGCAGCAGUAGGGAAUCGUCCGCAAUGGGCGAAAGCCUGACGGAGCAACGCCGCGUGAGUGAUGAAGGUCUUCGGAUCGUAAAACUCUGUUAUUAGGGAAGAACAAAUGUGUAAGUAACUGUGCACGGCGUGACGGUAACUAAUCAGAAAGCAACGGCUAACUACGUG